ensembl:lncRNA LINC00903 long intergenic non-protein coding RNA 903
AUGGCUCACAGACCAACCCCUCAGGACUGCAGUGGGAGGAAUGCAAUGGAGCCCAUUCUUCUUUUCUGGUUCAUGUACUCUAAUCAAAGACACCACUCAAUAGUGCACAGUGUGUGGAGAAGGAGAUGGAAGAUGCAAGGAGUAUGAAUGUGGGCACUUUUUAAAAAAUUUCACCCAAGAGAAAUAUACAGUCAUUUGUCAGACCAGUGAUUUUACACUGUCA